UACGGAGGGUUAGCGUUGUUCGGAAUUACUGGGCGUAAAGCGCACGUAGGCGGAUUGGAAGUUGGGUGAAUCCCAGGGCUCAACCCUGGAACUGCCUCCAAACUCCCAGUCUGGAGUUCGAGAGAGGUGAGUGGAAUUCCGAGUGUAGAGGUGAGAUUCGUAGAUAUUCGGAGGAACACCAGUGGCGAAGGCGGCUCACUGGCUCGAUACUGACGCUGAGGUGCGAAAGUGUGGGAGCAAACAGG
rnacentral:rRNA from 1 species